AUUGAACGCUGGCGGCAGGCCUAACACAUGCAAGUCGAACGAGUGGCGGACGGGUGAGUAAUGUCUGGGAAACUGCCUGAUGGAGGGGGGUAACUACUGGAAACGGUAGCUAAUACCGCAUACCAUCGGAUUUGCCUAGGUCGGAUUAGCUAGUUGGUGGGGUAAAGGCCUACCAAGGCGACGAUCCGUAACUGGUCUGAGAGGAUGAUCAGUCAGCCUGGAACUGAGACACGGUCCAGACUCCUACGGGAGGCAGCAGUGGGGAAUAUUGCACAAUGGGCGCAAGCCUGAUGCAGCCAUGCCGCGUGUAUGAAGAAGGCCUUCGGGUUGUAAAGUACUUUCAGCGGGGAGGCGUUACCCGCAGAAGAAGCACCGGCUAACUCCGUGCCAGCAGCCGCGGUAAUUC
rnacentral:rRNA from 1 species